rnacentral:rRNA from 1 species
AGAGUUUGAUCCUGGCUCAGAGUGAACGCUGGCGGCGUGCUUAACACAUGCAAGUCGAACGAGAACAGAAGAGAGCUUGCUCUCUUGCUGCUAAGUGGCGCACGGGUGAGUAAUAUAUAGGUAAUAUGCCUCUUACUAAGGGAUAAUUGUUGGAAACGACUUGUAAUACCUUAUAUGCCUUUUGAACAUAAGUUCGUAAAGGGAAAGAUUUAUCGGUAAGAGAUUAGCCUGUACGGUAUCAGAUAGUUGGUGGGGUAAUGGCCUACCAAGUCUAUGACACCUAACUGGUUUGAGAGGAUGAUCAGUCACACUGGAACUGAGACACGGUCCAGACUCCUACGGGAGGCAGCAGUGGGGAAUAUUGCACAAUGGACGAAAGUCUGAUGCAGCAACGCCGCGUGGAGGAUGACACAUUUCGGUGCGUAAACUCCUUUUAUAUGAGAGGAUAAUGACGGUAUCAUAUGAAUAAGCACCGGCUAACUCCGUGCCAGCAGCCGCGGUAAUACGGGGGGUGCAAGCGUUACUCGGAAUCACUGGGCGUAAAGAGCAUGUAGGCGGGUGAAUAAGUUGGAAGUGAAAUCCUAUAGCUUAACUAUAGAACUGCUUCCAAAACUGUUCACCUAGAGUAUGGGAGAGGUAGAUGGAAUUUCUGGUGUAGGGGUAAAAUCCGUAGAGAUCAGAAGGAAUACCGAUUGCGAAGGCGAUCUACUGGAACAUUACUGACGCUCAGAUGCGAAAGCGUGGGGAGCAAACAGGAUUAGAUACCCUGGUAGUCCACGCCCUAAACGAUGUACACUAGUUGUUGCUAUACUAGAUAUGGCAGUAAUGCAGU